CAUGCAAGUCGAGCGAACCGAUGGAGUGCUUGCAUUCCUGAGGUUAGCGGCGGACGGGUGAGUAACACGUAGGCAACCUGCCUGUACGACCGGGAUAACUCCGGGAAACCGGAGCUAAUACCGGAUAGGAUGCCGAACCGCAUGGUUCGGCAUGGAAAGGCCUUUGAGCCGCGUACAGAUGGGCCUGCGGCGCAUUAGCUAGUUGGUGGGGUAACGGCCUACCAAGGCGACGAUGCGUAGCCGACCUGAGAGGGUGAACGGCCACACUGGGACUGAGACACGGCCCAGACUCCUACGGGAGGCAGCAGUAGGGAAUCUUCCGCAAUGGACGAAAGUCUGACGGAGCAACGCCGCGUGAGUGAGGAAGGUCUUCGGAUCGUAAAACUCUGUUGUCAGAGAAGAACCGCCGGGAUGACCUCCCGGUCUGACGGUACCUGACGAGAAAGCCCCGGCUAACUACGUGCCAGCAGCCGCGGUAAUACGUAGGGGGCAAGCGUUGUCCGGAAUUAUUGGGCGUAAAGCGCGCGCAGGCGGCUUCUUAAGUCAGGUGUGAAAGCCCACGGCUCAACCGUGGAGGGCCAUCUGAAACUGGGGAGCUUGAGUGCAGGAGAGGAGAGCGGAAUUCCACGUGUAGCGGUGAAAUGCGUAGAGAUGUGGAGGAACACCAGUGGCGAAAGGCGGCUCUCUGGCCUGUAACUGACGCUGAGGCGCGAAAGCGUGGGGAGCAAACAGGAUUAGAUACCCUGGUAGUCCACGCCGUAAACGAUGAGUGCUAGUGUUGGGGAGUCCACCUCCUCAGUGCCGCAGCUAACGCAAUAAGCACCUCCGCCUGGGGAGUACGGCCGCAGGCUGAAACUCAAGGAAUUUGACGGGACCCGCACAAGCGGGUGGAGCAUGGUGGUUUAUUCGAAGCACGCCGAAGAAACCUUACCAAGGCUUGACAUCCCGCUGACCCCUCCA
rnacentral:rRNA from 1 species